rnacentral:rRNA from 1 species
UACGUAGGGAGCGAGCGUUGUCCGGAUUCAUUGGGCGUAAAGCGCUUUAAGGCGGUUCGCUAAGUCGCGUGUGAAACCUCCAGGCUCAACCUGGAGACGCCACGCGAUACUGGCGUGACUAGAGUUCGGUAGGGGAUCACGGAAUUCCUUGUGUAGCGGUGAAAUGCGUAGAUAUCGGGAGGAACACCAGUGGCGAAGGCGACUACCUGGCCUGUUCUUGACGCUGAGGCGCGAAAGCUAGGGGAGCAAACGGG